rnacentral:rRNA from 1 species
UACGGAAGGCAGCACUGGGGAAUAUUGCACAAUGGGCGAAAGCCUGAUGCAGCUAUGCCGCGUGUAUGAAGAAGGCCUUAGGGUUGUAAAGUACUUUCAUCGGGGAGGAAAAACAAAACUAAUAAUUUUAUUUCUUGACGUUACCCGAAAAAGAAGCACCGGCUAACUCCGUGCCAGCAGCCGCGGUAAUACGGAGGGUGCUAGCGUUAAUCAGAAUUACUGGGCGUAAAGAGCACGUAGGUGGUUUUUUUAAGUCAGAUGUGAAAUCCCUGGGCUUAACCUGGAACUGCAUUUUGAAACUGAAAUACUAGAGUAUCGUAGAGGGAGGUAGAAUUCUAGGUGUAGCGGUGAAAUGCGUAGAUAUCUGGAGGAAUACCUGUGGCGAAAGCGGCCUCCUAAACGAAUACUGACACUGAGGUGCGAAAGCGUGGGGAGCAAACAGGGAUUAGAUACC